GGGGCUCGAGGAGCGGGGCGGGUGAGGCGAGUUCGGGCCGCCGCGGGGGUGCGGUUGCCGCACCUGAUCGGCCAGGUCCUCUCCCGCUCCGGCCCUUCUCCUCCGCCGCUAUUUCGCUUCCCGCUUUCCCGAGCAAGUGCGUUACACGUCCCCACCCACAUCCCCGAUACCGGCCCCCAGCAGCAAAAGCCUCCCGCCCCCGCCCCCGCCCCCUGGUGGUGCCGAGCUCGCCUCCCGCGCCGUUGCCGCCGUACGCAGGCUCGCGGGCCCCUACUCCCGCUCCCUGGAGGUCAUUCCUGUCGUUCCUCUGCCGAAAGCCCCCCGUUCCUACCUCCCACCGCCGCGGAGUGUUUGUGUGGAUUUGUAUAAAGGCACUCCCACAAAACAAGCAUCCAAGGCAGUUCCUCGUUAGUAUAGUGAGUUUCUUUUUACGGGAACCUGAGAAGCCCUGGAGUCAGCAGUCCUUGAGGUGAAAGGACCCGAGCACCUGCUUCUUACCUACCUAAAAAAGGAACGAGGGAAAUGGAAACCAGCUACUUUGAGAUUUGAGAGUAAAAGGCAGGACACAGACUGACCAUCUGUCUUGAUGCUGACCCGGUCAGCAGAAACAUGGUUGUAAGUUUGUAUGGCAGUGACAUUAGACAGGAAACUAUAUUUAAUUUGCUGGCUUCUUAGAUGAAGAAUUAACACCACAUAAUAAACAAGUGCUUGGAACAAA